rnacentral:rRNA from 1 species
GACGUAGGGGGCGAGCGUUGUUCGGAUUUACUGGGCGUAAAGGGCGCGUAGGCGGUCAGCACAAGUCAGUUGUGAAAUCUCCGGGCUUAACUCGGAAAGGUCAACUGAUACUGUGCGACUAGAGUGCGGAAGGGGCAACUGGAAUUCUCGGUGUAGCGGUGAAAUGCGUAGAUAUCGAGAGGAACACCUGCGGCGAAGGCGGGUUGCUGGGCCGACACUGACGCUGAUGCGCGAAAGCCAGGGGAGCGAACGGG